UUGAUUGGAUCAACCAAGAAUCAAGGGUUUGUUGUGAUUCACGAGCAUGAAGUUUGGGUAAGAACCAUCCCAAAGGAGUGUACUAAGGAUAAAACCUGUAGAUCAUGUUCUAAAAAGUUCCCAGGGUCUUAAUUUCAUCUAUCGGAUAUUACAGGUUAGGAUGACUAACUCAUUAACCCAUAAUAUUCCCAAGAGAAACUCGUCCGAGUGUAGUAUCGCGUAACAACUGUUAUCAAGUCUACACUUGAGCAGCUCCACACUACGUUCU
rnacentral:lncRNA from 1 species